CCCUUAGAUGUCCUGGGCCGCACGCGCGUUACACUGAUGCAUUCAACGAGCUUAUAACCUUGGCCGAGAGGCCUGGGCAAUCUUGUUAACGUGCAUCGUGAUAGGGAUAGAUUAUUGAAAUUAUUAAUCUUGAACGAGGAAUUCCUAGUAAACGCAGAUCAUCAAUCUGCAUUGAUUACGUCCCUGCCCUUUGUACACACCGCCCGUCGCCCCUACCGAUUGGAUGGUCCGGUGAAGCCUCGGGAUUGUGGUUCUUGCCGCUUUAUUGUGGCGUGACCGCGAGAACUUGUCUAAACCUUAUCAUCUAGAGGAAGGUGAAGUCGUAACA
rnacentral:rRNA from 1 species